rnacentral:rRNA from 1 species
GCGUACCUUUUGUAUAAUGGGUCAGCGACUUACAUUCAGUGGCGAGGUUAACCGAAUAGGGAAGCCGUAGAGAAAUCGAGUCCGAAUAGGGCGAAUAGUCGCUGGGUGUAGACCCGAAACCAAGUGAUCUAUCCAUGGCCAGGAUGAAGGUACCGUAACAGGUGCUGGAGGUCCGAACCGACUAGUGUUGCAAAACUAGCGGAUGAGCUGUGGAUAGGGGUGAAAGGCUAAACAAACUUGGAAAUAGCUGGUUCUCUCCGAAAACUAUUUAGGUAGUGCCUCAAGUAUUACCUGCGGGGGUAGAGCACUGUUUAGGUUAGGGGGUCAUGGCGACUUACCAAACCUUAGCAAACUCCGAAUACCGCAGAGUACAGCUUGGGAGACAGAGCACCGGGUGCUAACGUCCGGACUCAAGAGGGAAACAACCCAGACCGCCAGCUAAGGUCCC